rnacentral:lncRNA from 1 species
UUCUUCCUUUUGGUUCAUCAUCAUUCUUUUCGUCUUAGGUUAUAUAAUUAAGUUGCAAUGCAAAUUCUCUUCAUACUUUGUAAUUCACGACAGCGACAAGGUCACAUACAAACUCCCCGCUUCUACACACACAAAAAUAGUUUGGUGCAGAAAAUAUUUUGUAUUCAAAGAGGAUUUGAGGAAGAUGUUGAGGUUGGGGUCAG